rnacentral:rRNA from 1 species
UAUGUGAUCGUCUCUCGCAUAUCAAUAAGCGGAGGAAAAGGCUGCGGAACUGAACGACCGCUACCUACGCUUAGGAUGUUGAAGAUGUAGCACAUCAUACACGCAUGACACACUGCAUAUCAAUAAGCGGAGGAAAAGAAACUAACAAGGAUUCCCUUAGUAACGGCGAGUGAAGCGGGAAGAGCUCAAAUUUGAAAUCUUCAAGGUUUUACCUUGACGAAUUGUAGUUUAAAGAAGUGUUUUCUGUUGAAGUUUUGGUAAAAGUUCUUUGGAAUAGGACAUCAUAGAGGGUGAGAAUCCCGUAUUUGACCAUUAUUUUCAGCUGUGUGAUACACUUUCAAAGAGUCGGAUUGUUUGGGAAUGCAGUCCAAAAUGGGUGGUAAAUUUCAUCUAAAGCUAAAUAUUGGCGAGAGACCGAUAGCGAACAAGUACCGUGAGGGAAAGAUGAAAAGAACUUUGAAAAGAGAGUUAAACAGUACGUGAAAUUGUCAAAAGGGAAGCGUUUGACACCAGUGUUGUUUUCUCGAAAAUCAAUUAAAGAGAGGUUUGAUUUUGUUGUGUAUUGACCUUAACAGCUUGCAUUUUAAUUUUCUUGCUUUUUUUAAUGCACUUUUCGUUUAACAAGUCAACAUCAGUUUCUUUUGUUGUAAAAAGGUCAUUGGAAGGUGGCUUUCUUUUCGGAGAAAGUGUUUAUAGCCUUUGACUCCUGCAAUCGGAGAGACUGAGGUCUGCAGCGUAGAUCCUUCGGGGUUAGAUACAUUUGUGCUAAGUUAUAGCUUUUUAUAGACAACUUGUUGACUAUGAUUAGUCUUGUAGCUUACUCGCUUAUGCUAUUUUACCUACGCUUAGGAUGUUGAAGAUGUAGCACAUCAU